CCUACGGGGGGCAGCAGUAGGGAAUCUUCCACAAUGGACGAAAGUCUGAUGGAGCAACGCCGCGUGAGUGAAGAAGGGUUUCGGCUCGUAAAGCUCUGUUGGCAGUGAAGAACGAUAGAUGUAGUAACUGGCCUUUAUUUGACGGUACUUACUUAGAAAGUCACGGCUAACUACGUGCCAGCAGCCGCGGUAAUACGUAGGUGGCAAGCGUUAUCCGGAUUUACUGGGCGUAAAGCGCUUGCAGGCGGUUUAAUAAGUCUGGGGUGAAAGCCUUCGGCUCAACCGGGGAAUUGCAUCAGAAACUGUUAAACUUGAGUGUAGAAGAGGAGAGUGGAACUCCAUGUGUAGCAGUGGAAUGCGUAGAUAUAUGGAAGAACACCAGUGGCGAAGGCGACUAUCUGGUAUACAACUGACGCUGAGGCUCGAAAGCAUGGGUAGCGAACAGGAUUAGAUACCCCGGUAGUC
rnacentral:rRNA from 1 species